rnacentral:lncRNA from 1 species
ACCAACAAAGCUGAGGAGUGGGAGCACAGCUGAGACGGAGCUGGAACCACAAGGAGGGGCUUUUUCUAAUACUGAUAGUCUGGAAAUCAACUGGCAUCAUAAUUCUAACAAGGGUAAGUGGCUAAUAGCUAAUAUAACUGGCU